ACAGCAGCCGCCGCGGUAAUACGUAGGGGGCAAGCGUUAUCCGGAAUUACUGGGUGUAAAGGGAGCGUAGACGGUUAAACAAGUCUGAAGUGAAAUGCCGGGGCUCAACCCCGGAGCUGCUUUGGGAACUGUAGAACUGGAGUGUCGGAGGGGUAAGCGGAAUUCCCAGUGUAGCGGUGAAAUGCGUAGAUAUUGGGAGGAACACCGGCGGCGAAGGCGGCUUACUGGACGACAACUGACGUUGAGGCUCGAAGGCGUGGGUAGCAAACAGGAUUAGAGACCCCUGUAGACCCUGUCUCUUAUAC
rnacentral:rRNA from 1 species